GGGGCAACCUGGCGGCGAGCGGCGAACGGGUGAGUAAUGCAUCGGAACAUGUCCAUUCGUGGGGGAUAGCCCGGCGAAAGCCGGAUUAAUACCGCAUACGCCCUGAGGGGGAAAGUGGGGGACCGCAAGGCCUCACGCGAAUGGGUUGGCCGAUGUCCGAUUAGCUAGUUGGUGGGGUAAAGGCUUACCAAGGCGAUGAUCGGUAGCUGGUCUGAGAGGAUGAUCAGCCACACUGGGACUGAGACACGGCCCAGACUCCUACGGGAGGCAGCAGUGGGGAAUUUUGGACAAUGGGGGCAACCCUGAUCCAGCCAUUCCGCGUGAGUGAAGAAGGCCUUCGGGUUGUAAAGCUCUUUUGUCCGGAACGAAACGGUUAGCGUGAAUAUCGCUGACUACUGACGGUACCGGAAGAAUAAGCACCGGCUAACUACGUGCCAGCAGCCGCGGUAAUACGUAGGGUGCGAGCGUUAAUCGGAAUUACUGGGCGUAAAGCGUGCGCAGGCGGUUUUGUAAGCCAGAUGUGAAAUCCCCGGGCUUAACCUGGGAAUGGCAUUUGGGACUGCAAGGCUCGAGUGCGGCAGAGGAGACUGGAAUUCCUGGUGUAGCAGUGAAAUGCGUAGAUAUCAGGAGGAAUACCGAUGGCGAAGGCAGGUCUCUGGGCUGACACUGACGCUCAUGCACGAAAGCGUGGGGAGCAAACAGGAUUAGAUACCCUGGUAGUCCACGCCCUAAACGAUGUCGACUGGUUGUUGGGGGUUUGACACUCUCAGUAACGAAGCUAACGCGUGAAGUCGACCGCCUGGGGAGUACGGCCGCAAGGUUAAAACUC
rnacentral:rRNA from 1 species